UGAUGACCAUAGCAAGUCGGUCCCACUCCUUCCCAUCCCGAACAGGACAGUGAAACGACUUCGCGCCGAUGAUAGUGCGGGUUCCCGUGUGAAAGUAGGUCAUCGUCAGGCU
rnacentral:rRNA from 1 species